UAUUGUUUGUAUGGUGUUUUGUGCAGCAACAGGGGAGAGAAAAACAUUUCUUUAAACAAGUGAAAAUGUGAUCACAAACCACAAAAACCUGCAGGGGAAUUCAGCGAUAAAUGUAGUAUCAACUCAGGCGCAGCUGUAAAAAUUACUUUUAAUUAUUUUUUGACCUAACUGAAAAAACACAUAUAUCAAGAUUAGCUUUCAUUUAUUCUUUAAAUACCAAGAACAUGAGUUCUACCAUUUAGUAAUCUGCCAUGACCUUCUAUUUACAGCCAAGUUAGGAGGACUCAAAAGAGUGACUUUCUUUUCUUUCUCCCACAAUCAUAGUGAUGCUAGCCUGCCUUUAUUAAUGGGUGCAUUGCCAUUGGAUGGAGCCCCUAGGACAGCAUCUGGUCACUUAACUCCAGGACCAACUCCCGGACCUACUCCUGAAAAGAUGAGACAAGGGUUGACAAAACAAGAAGACUCAGAAGAUAAAUCUGUUUUUUAUAUCAAGAAGCACUACAUGCAUCUGCUGUCGGUUAUGUAAGAUCUGUUGCAAGAACUUGCGGUAUGUGUGUCUGGUUGAGACAAGAUCUUGCCUGAGAAUGAGUGAGCAGAAGUCCAGUCCACACAAGAGAAAGAGGAAGCAUAUAGAGGAUACUUGAUAGAAGAUAUGGCAUAUAAAUGAAGAUUGAAUAUAGAAAAUACUGCCAUGCUGACAACAUGCAACAGUUCAGAGCUGCAGCCACACACUGCCAACAACAGGAUAUUUCCACAGGUUUCUUAAGGCAAGGUCUGUGAUUUACCUAUUUGUUUUUUUAUGUUGACUCCAU